CCAAAAUCACAAAGCUUGUAAGUACCAAAUCAAUAGUUGGAUAGUGUGAUGUGAUCUUCGAUGACUUCCAACCCGAGCGAGCCUUCGAAACACUAUAAACAUAGAAAAGGAAAGAAAGUAAGCUAUAAAGCUUAGUAAGCUCGUAUGGUAAUAAACUAUCUUACCAAAUUAACACAUUUUAAGCAAUUACUCAUGUAUGAGCCCAUUUUGCCCGGGCCUAGUGCAAAACAAAAACAAAAUAAAAAUAAUAAACCCAAAAGUAACAGCCCAUUUACAAACCCAAACUCUGACCCAAAAUUCAAACCCAAACAAAUCAAAAUCCUAAAGCCCAAAUGGCCCAAAAUCUAAAACAUUUUUCAGCAAAAUUCAGCAGCAAACCCUAGCUGGCCGCCGCAUGCCUCGCGUGGCCUCCUCGUCUGCCACGCCCAGCUCUCCAUGCCACCAUGUCGGCCACCUGCUCCUCCUCCACUACCAGCACCUCCAUACCCUGCAAGAUCAAGACAAAAAACAGGAUAGAAUAAUAGAAAAAGGAUGUAAAAUGGGUUAUAAAACCCGAAAUGAAAAACGGAAACAGGGGGGUUUUUCUUUGGGGUUCUUCUUCUUUUUUUUGUUUGUUUUUUCGGCAUUUGAAUACAAAAAAAACAGAAGUUAGAGUUUUAAAAAAAAUACAUAGAUC
rnacentral:lncRNA from 1 species